rnacentral:tRNA from 1 species
AGGUUGUUAGCUCAGUUGGCAGAGCAACGGACUUUUAAUCCGUGUGUCGCAUGUUCGAAUCAUGUACAUCCUA